GACGAACCGUGCGAACGUUGUUCGGAAUCACUGGGCUUAAAGGGCGCGUAGGCGGGCAAGCAAGUCAGGGGUGAAAGCCCACGGCUCAACCGUGGAAGUGCCUUUGAUACUGCUGGUCUUGAGGGAGGUAGGGGCGUGCGGAACUUCCGGUGGAGCGGUGAAAUGCGUAGAUAUCGGAAGGAACACCGGUGGCGAAAGCGGCGCGCUGGAUCUCUUCUGACGCUGAGGCGCGAAAGCCAGGGGAGCAAACGGGG
rnacentral:rRNA from 1 species